rnacentral:rRNA from 1 species
GAUGAACGCUGGCGGCGUGCCUAAUACAUGCAAGUCGAGCGAACAGACGAGGAGCUUGCUCCUCUGACGUUAGCGACGGACGGGUGAGUAACACGUGGAUAACCUACCUAUAAGACUGGGAUAACUUCGGGAAACCGGAGCUAAUACCGGAUAAUAUAUUGAACCGCAUGGUUCAAUAGUGAAAGACGGUUUUGCUGUCACUUAUAGAUGGAUCCGCGCCGCAUUAGCUAGUUAGUAAGGUAACGGCUUACCAAGGCAACGAUGCGUAGCCGACCUGAGAGGGUGAUCGGCCACACUGGAACUGAGACACGGUCCAGACUCCUACGGGAGGCAGCAGUAGGGAAUCUUCCGCAAUGGGCGAAAGCCUGACGGAGCAACGCCGCGUGAGUGAUGAAGGUCUUCGGAUCGUAAAACUCUGUUAUUAGGGAAGAACAAAUGUGUAAGUAACUAUGCACGUCUUGACGGUACCUAAUCAGAAAGCCACGGCUAACUACGUG